rnacentral:rRNA from 1 species
UACAGAGGGUGCAACCGUUGCUCGGAAUCAUUGGGCGUAAAGCGCACGUAGGCGGUCCAGCAAGCGGGGAGUGAAAGCCCUCGGCUUAACCGAGGAAGUGCUUUCCGAACUACUGGACUUGAGUACUGAAGAGGGUCGCGGAAUUCCCGGUGUAGAGGUGAAAUUCGUAGAUAUUCGCAAGAACACCAGUGGCGAAGGCGGCUCACUGGCCCGGUACUGACGCUGAGGCACGAAAGCGUGGGGAGCAAACAGG